GACGAACGCUGGCGGCGUGCUUAACACAUGCAAGUCGAACGGAAAGGCCCUGCUUUUGUGGGGUGCUCGAGUGGCGAACGGGUGAGUAACACGUGAGUAACCUGCCCUUGACUUUGGGAUAACUUCAGGAAACUGGGGCUAAUACCGGAUAGGAGCUCCUGCUGCAUGGUGGGGGUUGGAAAGUUUCGGCGGUUGGGGAUGGACUCGCGGCUUAUCAGCUUGUUGGUGGGGUAGUGGCUUACCAAGGCUUUGACGGGUAGCCGGCCUGAGAGGGUGACCGGCAAAAAUGGGACUGAGAUACGGCCCAGAAGCCUACGGGAGGCAGCAGUGGGGAAUAUUGAACAAUGGGCGGAAGGCUGAUGAAGCAAAGCAGCGGGCGGGAUGACGGCCUUCGGGUUGUAAAACGCUUUCGCAUGUGACGAAGCGUGAGUGACGGUAAUGGGUAAAGAAGCACCGGCUAACUACGUG
rnacentral:rRNA from 1 species